AGAAUAGUUUAUCUACAGAGA
rnacentral:snRNA from 1 species